UCCGGCGAGAAACUCAGUGGGCUGUGUCUGUGGAAUAAUAUUAAUUGGAAUAAUAAUUACUCGUCUAGCCCUUCGUCGCGAGCGACGGGUUCGACGAGAACCAUGCCCGGAGCUCUUUCAACGAGAACGCAUGACUAUAGAUGACAGAUAUUUUGAUAUUUUAAGAUAACUUGGCCACCAUCUGAUGCCUCCGCCACUCCACACACGUUUUCAAAAACAUUGGAGCAUUUAAUUUCUUCACAUGAUUCAGCGAAAGUGGCCUGAAAAACUACUUACAAUAGUUUUAACGAUACAAGUUUUCACUAGUACAACACUUAGUUUACUAUAUAUUUAUUAUAUACCGGUCGAAACUCCUUUACCUUCCCUUUGGAUCUAUUGAAAAACGUAUAAAAACAUACUUUUGUUAAAACUACUCCGGUGAAAGGUUCAGAGAGUUCACAUACUUUAAAGUCAAUUAAAUAAAAAUCUGUAAGCAGUGCUACAUAGGGUUGAUGAUUAUAAAAUUGUAGAUAUUGUUUUAUGAAACCUUGAAAAAUUGUUUUAUAUAUUAUUGUUUUAAGUAUGAUUAUAUUUGCCAGAUUCUAAUAAUAAAGAAUUCUGUGGA